rnacentral:lncRNA from 1 species
AUUCACUUCAAAAACAAACACCAUUUUUUUGUGUCUCAAUUUCCAAAGUACAGUACUGUAACAUUUUUAUCAAACAAAAAGAGCAUGAAACUAAACCCCUCUUUAAGAACACUCACCAACACUUCAAUAAACCCAAUUCUCAGACUUAAACAUUAUUAUUCCGUUGCAAUCAAUACCAAGAAAACCCCAUUAUGUUACACUGAAUGUGAUCCUCACAUUGCACAAUACCUGUUUGAUAAAACUCCU